GAUGAACGCUGGCGGCGUGCCUAAUAUAUGCAAGUCGAGCGAACGGACGAGAAGCUUGCUUCUCUGAUGUUAGCGGCGGACGGGUGAGUAACACGUGGAUAACCUACCUAUAAGACUGGGAUAACUUCGGGAAACCGGAGCUAAUACCGGAUAAUAUUUUGAACCGCAUGGUUCAAAAGUGAAAGACGGUCUUGCUGUCACUUAUAGAUGGAUCCGCGCUGCAUUAGCUAGUUGGUAAGGUAACGGCUUACCAAGGCAACGAUGCAUAGCCGACCUGAGAGGGUGAUCGGCCACACUGGAACUGAGACACGGUCCAGACUCCUACGGGAGGCAGCAGUAGGGAAUCUUCCGCAAUGGGCGAAAGCCUGACGGAGCAACGCCGCGUGAGUGAUGAAGGUCUUCGAAUCGUAAAACUCUGUUAUUAGGGAAGAACAUAUGUGUAAGUAACUGUGCACAUCUUGACGGUACCUAAUCAGAAAGCCACGGCUAACUACGUGCCAGCAGCCGCGGUAAUACGUAGGUGGCAAGCGUUAUCCGGAAUUAUUGGGCGUAAAGCGCGCGUAGGCGGUUUUUUAAGUCUGAUGUGAAAGCCCACGGCUCAACCGUGGAGGGUCAUUGGAAACUGGAAAACUUGAGUGCAGAAGAGGAAAGUGGAAUUCCAUGUGUAGCGGUGAAAUGCGCAGAGAUAUGGAGGAACACCAGUGGCGAAGGCGACUUUCUGGUCUGUAACUGACGCUGAUGUGCGAAAGCGUGGGGAUCAAACAGGAUUAGAUACCCUGGUAGUCCACGCCGUAAACGAUGAGUGCUAAGUGUUAGGGGGUUUCCGCCCCUUAGUGCUGCAGCUAACGCAUUAAGCACUCCGCCUGGGGAGUACGACCGCAAGGUUGAAACUCAAAGGAAUUGACGGGGACCCGCACAAGCGGUGGAGCAUGUGGUUUAAUUCGAAGCAACGCGAAGAACCUUACCAAAUCUUGACAUCCUUUGACAACUCUAGAGAUAGAGCCUUCCCCUUCGGGGGACAAAGUGACAGGUGGUGCAUGGUUGUCGUCAGCUCGUGUCGUGAGAUGUUGGGUUAAGUCCCGCAACGAGCGCAACCCUUAAGCUUAGUUGCCAUCAUUAAGUUGGGCACUCUAAGUUGACUGCCGGUGACAAACCGGAGGAAGGUGGGGAUGACGUCAAAUCAUCAUGCCCCUUAUGAUUUGGGCUACACACGUGCUACAAUGGACAAUACAAAGGGCAGCGAAACCGCGAGGUCAAGCAAAUCCCAUAAAGUUGUUCUCAGUUCGGAUUGUAGUCUGCAACUCGACUACAUGAAGCUGGAAUCGCUAGUAAUCGUAGAUCAGCAUGCUACGGUGAAUACGUUCCCGGGUCU
rnacentral:rRNA from 1 species